CACUUUGAUCAGUUUCUACGUUUCGUAUGAUAAUAGUAUAAUACCAAACAUUUUUCAAUCUAUACUAGAAAAAUUGAAAUUUCAUCUAUACUAGAAAAAUUGAAAUUUCCAAAUAUAAAUAACAGAGAUAACUUAUCAAUUGUUCCUACAUAUGAAAUGAAAUAAUGUAAAUGCAAGUACAAAUACACCAGCAGACGCAAAAUAUAACUCCUUCAUCAUGUAUUAUUGUUGUGGACAUCUCUGCCAUGGAUGUAUAAGGAAGUUAAUAGCGAAGUACCAAGAAGCAGAGCGACAUAAUAUAUUUAUGAUUGUGCAUAAAUAUAAUUGAAGAAUUAUUGUGAGGUGACACAUUUGUUUUGUAAUGCAAACUAGUCACGUCCUUUGGACCAUUGCAAAUUCGCAAUGCCACCGUUUUUAUACGAUCUGUAAUGUCGCUUCUUUAAAUAACGGCUGUUUGUUGAUAAGAACAAAGCUUCAUCCUCAUCUCCUAAAACAAAAACUACAAUAGAUAGAGACCAGGGUCUAGGAGCUCAAGUGUUCUUGUGCGAGCUGAGCUGGAUAAUGUGCGAGCCUCAAGUUUCGUACUGAACUUGACUUGAUAAAAUUUAAAAUCUUUAAAUUCAGUGGAAGCUAAAAUCGAUUAUACUUAUUUAAAAUGAAAUUCUUAUAAAAUUUAUUUGAAUUUAAUUCAUUAAUAACUUAAAAAAAUAUAUAUAUCAUGGUCUACAAAUGAUAAAAUAUGCAAAACAUGACAUUUAGAUCAAAGGGUUAAUAUUUUUUUUAAAAAAACAGAUAUGAAACUGCCGUAACGUCACUCACCGACUCACCGUAACACGCGAUCCCCCACGGCAAGCUAACUGCCAUAAUAUAAAGAAAACAAAACAAAAGAAUGGAAUUAUGGAAGCAGCCAAUAUCCAAACUGUAAAGCAAAAUGUGGGUUCACUUUAGAUUACACCUAAAAUCUUCAAAAAUAUUCGGCCUGUUUUAUUUUUAACUUUUCCAUACGAGCUUUAUGUUACCUGUUUUCGUGCUAAAAAUUCGUGCUAGACUGAUCAUGAUCAUGGUUGAUAAUAAUAUUAUCAUAUUAAUAUGAAAUUAAUAAGUACUGCAUAUCUUGAGUUUCGUAAGACUAUAAAAUAUAGUGACAUAAGAGGAAGCAAUUGUCUGUUUAGUAAGCUUGUAAAAAUUGGAACUCGGUUCAAUUCGAUUUGGUUCCAAAAAAAUGAAUACUCAGAAUUUGAGAAAGUAUUUGAAAACAUAUAUAAAUUUAUAUUUAAUCUGUUUUCAAAUAAUUUCCAAAUAAAACAAAUAUUGAGAAGCUAUUAAGAUGAAAAGCCGUUUCUAUCUAAAUUUAGAUCGAUUUGGAUAAAAACUGGUUCCUCCCCCUCUUUCUUAAAACUCAACAUUUUGUGAUAUGUUCUGCGUUUUGUUCGCCCACUCUUGAUUGUGGGCGGAGACGGGCAGGGAAGAAAAAGACACACAAACAGAGAGAGGGUCAAGUAAGGUAAAGGAUGGGUUGGAGUGAGGAGGUUGCCAUGCCAGGCUAAGCUGACGAUACACAAGAAAACUACCCUACAAGUCUACAACACACGUAGGUCCCAUAAUAAGCAUAUAUAUAUAUCGGCAUCAUCAUCCCCUCACAUGCUUCUCUGUCACUCUUUCUCUCUCCCUCUCAUCACCUUCAUCCCUCUCUUCCGUCUCAUGGAUUUAUCAGUCCAGCUCCUCACAAUUAAGUAUUAUAAUAUACUAGCCUUUAACCCGUGGCGGGUAUAUACUUCGUAAUUUAUUAUUUAUAAUUUAAAUUUAAACAUCAUUUUAUUUGUAUUUUAGUAUUAAUAGAUUGAAUUUUAAUCAAAUUAUAUUAUUCAACUGACUUAUAUAUAUAUUAGUACAUUUAAUCCGAAUUUAGUACAUGUAGAUUUAAAAAUAAAAAAUCAG
rnacentral:lncRNA from 1 species